ACGCACGCUGGCGGCGUGCUUAACCCAUGCAAGUCGAACGGAAAGGCCCUGCUUGCAGGGUGCUCGAGUGGCGAACGGGUGAGUAACACGUGGGUGAUCUGCCCCUUACUUUGGGAUAAGCCUGGGAAACUGGGUCUAAUACUGGAUAGGACCAUGCUGUAGGUGGUGUGGUGGAAAGAUUAGUUUCGGUAAGGGAUGAGCUCGCGGCCUAUCAGCUUGUUGGUGGGGUAAUGGCCUACCAAGGCGUCGACGGGUAGCCGGCCUGAGAGGGUGGACGGCCACAUUGGGACUGAGAUACGGCCCAGACUCCUACGGGAGGCAGCAGUGGGGAAUAUUGCACAAUGGGCGCAAGCCUGAUGCAGCGACGCCGCGUGGGGGAUGACGGCCUUCGGGUUGUAAACUCCUUUCAGCCAUGACGAAGCCCUUGUGGUGACGGUAGUGGUAGAAGAAGCACCGGCUAACUACGUG
rnacentral:rRNA from 1 species